GAUGCGAAGAUUGAAAGGGAUCUUUGCAAACACAAUCACGUUCUUAAAUGGAAAUGUGGGGCUUUAAACAAAUCUUACAUCUCUCCUGUUCCAGUCGUCUAAAACUCCGCAAUCAGGCGCACGGUCGACUCCAUCUAAAACCACAGCUUUUUUAGAUUUUCUUUUUUUGGUACCACUUUUAUUUAAAUUAUUUACCUUACUGUUUUUUUUAGUUCAAGUUCGUGUUUGUCUUGCUCUUAUGGGGUGUUUCCACAGGCUUUUGCGAGGAAUUGUGCCGUUACACGCGGAGAAUUCAGGCAUCAAACCCAAAGGCUCCUCUGUGGACUAAUGGAGCUGAAAGCUGAUGAUGAUGAUGACAGAGAAAAUAUCAUGCAAACAUAAUUUGCCUUCUGUGAAAGAAAAUGCAGAGAAAAAAAAGGCUCAAAGAGGCCUGAAAGGACAGAAUUACUUGCUUUGGAGACAUCUGAGAAGUCCAUUGAAAGAGCUAAUAAUGGGAUCAAGGGGCAUUUGUGUAUAAAUUCAACUGUAUUAAAUCAAGAAAGGCUGCUUUAGCAACAGAUGCAUUGAGAUCAGCACAAUACGCUCGUACUGAACUUCUAGCCUCGGGGUUACAUGUGUGUUUUGGACUGGUUAGGAGCUGGCAAACAGCAGAGUGGCCAGACCAGCUCCCGCACGAGAAGGGUCACGACCAGACACCAAGUGCCCCUGUCUCGUAGUCGUCUGUGGUCAAGCACUCACCGAAUUAAAUUAGACUGCUUUUAAUUGAGGAUUGACCGGUCUGAGAGCAGCUGGUGCUUGGGUCAGUCAAGAUAGCAAAGCCUGAAUCCCCCAGGCCCCAACUGUAAUUUCAGCCCUGCAGGUCCUGGAAUGGACUGGGAGGGAGAGGAGGUCGGAGCAUGCUGGGAAUGCAUGGCUGAUGAUUAGCAAUAAGAGUUUAUAGGAAGGCUUAGAUGAGAUUUGGCUUGUUUGCUUGAGUGGAAAGUGUAACUCACACACUCACAGCCUGUGGAGUCAGUGUAAAUCCGCUUAAGGUUUGCACCUCACUGAAAAUCUCCUCAAUCGCCUGGUCGACACAAUUAAUUGCUUCAUUAAUUAAUAAUCGCUGCACGAUACACCACCCUGACUGCGUCUUGGCAAGCGUGCAACUUACAAGCGACCCUUCUUUUUCUUCUUAUGUUCCCUUCUUUCACUCUUCCCGCCUACUCUGAUACUCUACUCCUCUUUUUUUUUACCCUUUUCUUCUGCACGCCUUUUCUUUUCCUACUUUAAGCAGCAUUGCAGAUGCAGACUCUGCUGUUAUAGCAUGAACAGACACACUUUUCUCUCGGCAAGCAGGUCAGAGUGCUCUGCUAACAUUUGUUAUCUAUAAUCCUGCAGGUCCCCACGCAAAAUGAGCGUAGUAAACUCUUGCAAAACCCUAAUCCCUCCAUUUCUUUUAGACGCGCUUUCUCUCUCUCUCAUGCUCUUUUCUUUUCCAUCUUUGGGGAAGGAAAGUGAGGAGGCAUCUUUGACUUUGGCCCUUAUUUUUGAGUUCUUCUGAAUUACCAAACUUCUUUAACCUUCAAAAUUAUCAACAUUUUCUGGCAAUUAAAAAGAUUUAGAUUUUUUUUUUUUUUAUCAAACUCCAAUGCUAAAGAAUCAUUUCGGGCUGCCACCAGCCGCCCAUGCUUUUAUGACAGGCUUUGUGGAUUUGUUUUUCAGACUCCUUGUGUGCAGAAAUCUCUAUGCGUUUACGGUUCAACUGUCGGUGUCAGUUAAUCUGGCUUGUGCUGUUGAUUCAUCUCAGUAACAUUCAAGGAUCUGUGCAAAAAAAAAAGUUUUUUUCUUUUGCCAUCACUCUCAAUUAUAUAUGCGCUGAUUUGAUUUGAGUUUGAUACUAUGGAAAUUAUGUAUAUGAAUGCUCUUGUGCAGUUCUGCUGCAUUUAGUCUUGGUCAUGCACACCCACACAUGCAGUGAGCACGUCGGAGUGUGUGUGAGUUUGUGUUGUAUGGUGAGUAAUAGCAGGGCUCGCUGGAAGGCUGUAGUGUUGACAGCAUGGUAAACGAUGCAGCCUGCCUACUGCAGCAGCUAGCCUGCUAAUCACACACACACCACAUGAUAAUGAGAACAACCCCUGUCCUCCAACACACACACACACUAAUACGACUAACCACAGCAAACAGACACAAACUCCCUCUCACACACACUGACCCAUACUUCUACAGACAAAUGGAAGACAUAAUGGUAGCCGGAGGCAGUAAUGGGGCAUCUCUCUCUCUCUCUCUCUCUCACUCUCUCUCUCUCUUAUACUCUUGAACCAAGCACAUCUCUAUCGCUUUACUGUCUUCUUUACACAAAUACACACACUCUUCUCUCUCAUACUAACAGCUUUCUGUUAGAAGACACUCAGACUUGAGCCACACUUACACUAAGAAUGUGACUUGAGAUUUGAAGUAGUAUAGAUGGGACUUCUGAGACUUGUAAUCCAAAGUUUUUAGGUCUACAAGGCAAUGUAUUUUCUCUGAAUAUUGCAAAAUUUAGUAAUAGAGUUAAUAGCUAUUAGAAAUAUAGUUAAUAUUGGUUACUGUUAAAAUUUCUUUCUUUUUUUUUAAAUUUAAGUAAACAAGUGAUAGAACAAGUGAUAUAAAUAUUACAUUUAAACUGAUUCAAAAAUAUAUACAUUUUUUAUUUGAUUUACACAACCAUUGUGAGUUUUUAUUGUUUUUGAAAGAAGUCUCUUAUGCUCAUCAAGGCUGAAUUCAUUCACUCUAAAAAUGCUGGGUUGUUUUAACCCAACUUUGGGUCACAUACUGUUUGGA